GAUGAACGCUGGCGGCGUGCCUAAUACAUGCCAGUCGAGCGAACGGACGAGAAGCUUGCUUCUCUGAUGUUAGCGGCGGACGGGUGAGUAACACGUGGAUAACCUACCUAUAAGACUGGGAUAACUUCGGGAAACCGGAUCUAAUACCGGAUAAUAUUUUGAACCGCAUGGUUCAAAAGUGAUAGACGGUCUUGCUGUCACUAAUAGAUGUAUCCGCGCUGCAUUAGCUAGUUGGUAAGGUAACGGCUUACCAAGGCAACGAUGCAUAGCCGACCUGAGAGGGUGAUCAGCCACACUGGAACUGAGACACGGUCCAGACUCCUACGGGAGGCAGCAGUAGGGAAUCUUCCGCAAUGGGCGAAAGCCUGACGGAGCAACGCCGCGUGAGUGAUGAAGGUCUUCGGAUCGUAAAACUCUGUUAUUAGGGAAGAACAUAUGUGUAAGUAACUCUGCACAUCUUGACGGUACCUAAUCAGAAAGCCACGGCUAACUACGUG
rnacentral:rRNA from 1 species